GGUGAGAUUGAAAAUGGUACGAGCUCUAGUCAGAAUCCUGAGACCCUUGAGCAUCCAGUUUUGCUGUCUGCAUCUCAAACUGUGCCAAAUAACUUGGGGAUAAGGAAAAACUAUAAAAGGGCAGCAAACAGAGGUUCAAAGACAACAUCUACUGAGCAUGUGCAGCCUCCAGGACAACCAGCUGCCAAGAGAAGAAAAAGGAGCAGAGCCUCAAACAAAAAUUCGACAGAUGAGUUCUCACAAAUUCGUAAACGGGUUAGAUACAUUUUGAACCGAAUGAAUUAUGAGCAAAGCCUAAUUGAAGCUUAUGCUAGUGAAGGCUGGAAAAAUCA